rnacentral:lncRNA from 1 species
GGGGCGGCACCGCCAGCAGCCGGAGGCCGCUCGCCCCGCUCCUGCGGCAGAGGCGGGCCGCCGGGCGCACCGAGUCCCGCUUCUUCGGACCCCGUCGUGCGCCUCGGCGGCCCGUGGCGACAUGUCUCGGGAGCCCGGCUGCAAGCGCUGGCUCCUCGCUGCGUGCGCCCACCUCUUCUUCCUUCUCCCGCUGCUCCGCACCCGGGCUUUUGCUGUAAGUGUAAUUCCUGAAGGUGCAGAAGAUGAGACUGAACUACCAGUGCUGCAGAAGUCUAAAAAGAGUGGAACAAUUAGUAAAAUAAGCAGAG